GUCUUGGAGUAUCACAUUGUAUAGGAGGGUUUUUUAUUAGUUCUGACUUUUUCUUUAGCUCUUUGGCUUUUGUUAUAACGUUCUAACAUUUGGUUCUAAUUGGCCAAUGAAAGUUGUUAUUUAGUGGAUGUGUAUAAGUUCUCGUAUAAUGAUGUUUUACAUGAUUCUUCUACUUUGUUCGUUUAACUAUUGUUUCAACUUUAAAAGUUAUACAUGCAGUUCUUAUUUUUCUACUUAUGUUAUUGUAUGAUGCUUAAUUUGACGAAUUUCAAGUUUUUACUUUUUCUUAUA
rnacentral:lncRNA from 1 species